AAAAAAAAAAAGUGGAUGGAUUUAUGGUCAGAGUGAAUAGGCUUGUCUAAAUAGAUGUGGUUUGAGGCUGGAUUUGAAAUGUGUUAAUGAGUCUAUGUUACGAAGGUCAGCUGGGAGUGUGUUCCAGAGCUGGGGAGCAGAGCGACUGAAGGCUCUGCUCCCCAUAGUGACGAGGUGGGCGGGGGGGACAGUGAGGAGGAGAGAGGAAGAAGAACGAAGAGAGCGGACAGGUGUGGCAAUGUGGAUGAGGUCAGAUAGGUAUGGAGGGGCAAGGUUGUGGAUAACUUUAAAAGUAAGGAGCAGGAUUUUAUAUUGAAUGCGGUGUAUAAUGGGGAGCCAGUAGAGAUGUUGGAGGACAGGUGUAAUAUGGUGUAUGGAUGGUGUGAGUGUGAUUAUGCGAGCAGCUGAAUUUUGGACCAGCUGAAGCUUAUGGAGGGAAACGAACAGAUU